GGGUCAGUAGGUUGGUCGUGCCACCGGUACGUACUGGUCUCACUGAUUCCUCCUUCCUGAAGAACCGUAAUGCCAUUAAUUUGGUGUUGCGGGGAAACAGGACUGUUACUUUGAAAAAAUUAGAGUGUUUAAAGCAAGCUAACGCUUGAAUGCAUUAGCAUGGAGUAAUGAAAUAGGACGAUCGAUCCUAUUUUGUUGGUUUCUAGGAUUGACGUA
rnacentral:rRNA from 1 species